rnacentral:tRNA from 1 species
AAUAAGAUAGGUUAUAAAAACCGUUGAGUUGUGGUCUCAGAAAUACUUUUGUUCUAAUUC